CGGCAGGCCUAACACAUGCAAGUCGAGCGGUAGCACAGAGAGCUUGCUCUCGGGUGACGAGCGGCGGACGGGUGAGUAAUGUCUGGGAAACUGCCUGAUGGAGGGGGAUAACUACUGGAAACGGUAGCUAAUACCGCAUAACGUCGCAAGACCAAAGUGGGGGACCUUCGGGCCUCAUGCCAUCACAUGUGCCCAGAUGGGAUUAGCUAGUAGGUGGGGUAACGGCUCACCUAGGCGACGAUCCCUAGCUGGUCUGAGAGGAUGACCAGCCACACUGGAACUGAGACACGGUCCAGACUCCUACGGGAGGCAGCAGUGGGGAAUAUUGCACAAUGGGCGCAAGCCUGAUGCAGCCAUGCCGCGUGUGUGAAGAAGGCCUUCGGGUUGUAAAGCACUUUCAGCGGGGAGGAAGGCGAUAAGGUUAAUAACCUUGUCGAUUGACGUUACCCGCACAAAAAGCACCGGCUAACUCCGUGCCAGCAGCCGCGGUAAUACAGAGGGUGCAAGCGUUAAUCGGAAUUACUGGGCGUAAAGCGCACGCAGGCGGUCUGUCAAGUCUGAUGUGAAAUCCCCGGGCUCAACCUGGGAACUGCAUUCGAAACUGGCAGGCUAUAGUCUUGUAUAGGGGGGUAGAAUUCCACGUGUAGCGGUGAAAUGCGUAGAGAUCUGGAGGAAUACCGGUGGCGAAGGCGGCCCCCUGGACAAAGACUGACGCUCAGGUGCGAAAGCGUGGGGAGCAAACAGGAUUAGAUACCCUGGUAGUCCACGCCGUAAACGAUGUCGAUUUGGAGGUUGUGCCCUUGAGGCGUGGCUUCCGGAGCUAACGCGUUAAAUCGACCGCCUGGGGAGUACGGCCGCAAGGUUAAAACUCAAAUGAAUUGACGGGGGCCCGCACAAGCGGUGGAGCAUGUGGUUUAAUUCGAUGCAACGCGAAGAACCUUACCUGGUCUUGACAUCCACAGAACUUUCCAGAGAUGGAUUGGUGCCUUCGGGAACUGUGAGACAGGUGCUGC
rnacentral:rRNA from 1 species